UUUUCUCUCUUUCUUCUUCUUCUUCUUUUCUACGGCGAUUCAGAGAUGAAAUCUCUGUUAAGAAACUUCACUAAAAUUUAGUAAAACUAAUCAAUCGAGUGUGGUGUUGAUGAGUUAAUAGUUUGGGUUUGGUUAGAAACAUCGAUUGAGUUAAGGAGAAGUGAUUCUGUGAAGAAAUUAGGGUUCAUGAAAACAAUUUCGGGAUUCAAUUAAGGGUGAAGAAGAAAGAAUCAAAGGAUGGGUUUGAUAAAUUGGAAGGUUUGGUUGAUAUUUUGAGGUUGAAUUAGAUAAUAGAAUCUCUGAGACUUGAAUUAGGUUUUGAGUUGGAAAUUCAGAUGAAGAACUAGAAGAUGAAUUUGAAGGUUUCAGUGACGAACUAAAGAUAGGUUUUGAUUGAAUUGAAGUUUUGAAGUUAAUUCAGUGAUGAAUCGGUGAAUCAGGGUUGGUGUUCUGUUCUUCCCCAAUUUAUGAGUUUGGGUUGAUGAUGAAGUAAUUGAGUGAAAUAACAAGAGAUGAAAGGUUGGGUUUUACUGAUAUGAUGUGAAGAUGAAGGUUAUGAAGCUGAUGAAGAACUAGGGUUUGGUUCUGCCAUUAAGAAGGUAAUUGUUCUGUGGGUAAAUCUGUUCAAUUUCAUUAUUAAGUUUAUAAGUUUCUUAAUGAAUUAUGAAUUAAAAUGGUUAUGAGAUAGAUAUGUAGUUGAGCUAACCUUGUGAUUUCAAAUGAAUUGUUGAGUUUAAUUAAAGUGAAUGUGUAGUUGUUAUUUGGUUAAUACGAAUAUGGUAGUGAAAAUUGGUUAAUAAUAAGAGUUGUAGUUGGUUUGGUGAAUCUAAUGCUGCUGUUGAAGCUGAGUUGAGAAAUUGUAUUGCUGCUGGUGUUGAAGCCUUUGUUCCGAUAUACUGAAUUGAACUUCAAAUGAUGGAGAUGCUAUGAUUUGCUAGAUCUAAAGUUCUUAAAAUGUUUCCUUGUGGCUGUGUGUUAAGGAAUACAAGUUUGGAUGGAGGCUGAGUAUGGCUUAGAGAUUGCAGGGCUUGAGUUACAAUUGCAGGACUAGUGAUAUCAACGACGCAGAUGCAGGGUGAAUUUAAUUGUGUAAGUGAGAUGGUGUUGGUGUUUUGGUAUUUGAGUGCGUGGCUCGGAGGUGGUAAUAGCAGGUUGUGCUGAUGGUUUGUAGUAGCAUUUGAAAUGGAGACGAGUUUUGGUAAUGGUGGUUGUUGGGGGUAAUAACUUCAAUAGAGGCUUGCAACUACAAUUGCAGGUGAAGUGAGACGGAAAAAGAGUAGUUGUAAUGUUGUGUUGAGAGUAAUUGUGAAAGCCUGUAGUUGCAGAUCAGGUAAACUUAGUUUAGUGUUGUAAUUGAAUUCUGAAGACUGAUGUAUUGUGUAAUUUGAAGUUGAACUUGGAUUAGAGUUA